ACCCCAGGCGUUGACCGUCUUAUUUUGUCCGUCUCGACGAGCCCUAUCCGUGGACACCUCAUUUGUUGCGAUCCGACGCAUACAAAUCGAGGAAUUUGCAGGACAGUCGAAAUUUUGGGUCAUACCGAGGGCGACCCCAGGCGUUGACCGUCUUAUUUUGUCCGUCUCGACGAGCCCUAUCCGUGGACACCUCAUUUGUUGCGAUCCGACGCAUACAAAUCGAGGAAUUUGCAGGACAGUCGAAAUUUUGGGUCAUACCGAGGGCGACCCCAGGCGUUGACCGUCUUAUUUUGUCCGUCUCGACGAGCCCUAUCCGUGGACACCUCAUUUGUUGCGA